rnacentral:rRNA from 1 species
CCUACGGGAGGCAGCAGUAAGGAAUAUUGGUCAAUGGACGAAAGUCUGAACCAGCCAUGCCGCGUGAAGGAUUAAGGCCCUCUGGGUUGUAAACUUCUUUUAUCUGGGACGAAAAAAGGGUAUUCUUACUCACUUGACGGUACCAGAGGAAUAAGCACCGGCUAACUCCGUGCCAGCAGCCGCGGUAAU